rnacentral:piRNA from 1 species
CAUAAAAGAAACAUUAAGACUGAGA